rnacentral:lncRNA from 1 species
AACUUUCUGGCAGAUGGGCGUAAAGUGUGUGAAUCUGGGGGCUGCCUUUUCUGGAUCAGGCAAAGAUGCCUUAUGGCUUAGUGGCGGGCAGCUGAUGGGCAAUGCAAAAGACUGAACCACAGGCCCAGAUAAGGCAAGACUGCAGUGGGCCCAGCUAAAGCACGCAGCUGCUGCUGGGCUUCUGCCACUUGCCAGAGUGCAGGCCCAGGCUGGCCAGGUGCAGCAGUGUUCUGUGAGAGGCUGCAAGUCUGGGAUUGAAAUCUAUUGGUUUGUAAAUGUUAGCAACUAAAACAAAGCAACAAAACAAACAAAAAUAUUGACAGGCCUAACUUCUGUGGGCUGAAUGCAAGUUGAGGGGUGCCUGAACUCUAUUGCUAGGCUUUUUGGCCUCACUCAUGUGGAGCCCUCAUAGGCCCCACUAGUGGUUUCCAGGAAGGAGGCAAGAGAGUCUUAUUUGAAAAAGAAUCAAGAUUAAAAAUGGAGCAUUGAUUAAAAAAACAAAUAGAAGUUAAAAAAUUAAAAUCAAAUGAGAAGUGUGAUAUAAAACUCAUCAAUGACUGAUCAUAUUAGGUAUGAAAUAGUAGAACUGAAGAAUAAAAACAUGUGAACAUGCUUCCCUCUGAGGCUAAUGGCCUUGCUGAAUCAUGCUGCUUUGGUGUGAUGUCAACCCAAAUGGAGGAUUUAUAUAAGAAUCAUCCCUCUGAAGUUUAUUAUGGUUUCCAAUAAGACUGUGAUUGAAGAUGAUGUUUAUCAUAAUCUGGAUCCUUAUUAUGAGUGUACUUAAGAGAAAUGCUAUUUGUUCUAUGUAUCAAAACAAAUUGAACUUUGUAGAAAUUGAUUUGUAUUUAUAUCAUGAGCACUGUGAAUUGUGUAGCUAACCAUAAAUGUUCACAUCUAGAAGGUUUUGAGUUACAUUUAUGAACUAUUUGUAGCUUUGUGGUAUGAAUUCUUGACUCUAUUUUAUAUCCCAGUUAGUGCUAACUCAAUUCUCAAAAUAAACACAUUUGAGCACUAUCAAUGAAAAAGUAUCAAACAAUAUUUUGUAAAGAAUUUUAUGUUUUUUUUUAAAUAUUAAAACAUUGUCAAGCAAAAACUCAUUCCUACACAUUUUUAAUUGUUUAGUGCUGUUUUGAUUUUGAAUUACAAGUGGAGGCAGGUACAAUAUCUUCUCAGAAUUUAGUCAUCAAAGCUCUUACACAGGCACUAGUUUUUGCCUUUGUUUGCCUUUAUUCACUCAUUCCACUCACUCUCAACAUAUGCUAUCAUGUAGUAGUGUGUAUAUCCUUGUGAGCCCUUUUAAAUCCUUUCUGGAACAACAGGGAAUAUUAUAAAGAAAUCUGGAAAAGUGAGUAAAUUUUAAAAAUAAACUUAAUUAAAAAUAAAAGAAAAAUUUAAAAUUAUAAGCUACUACCUUGCAAAAGUCUCAGAUGAGAGAGCAUAUAUCCACAAGAGAGAGAAAAGUAUAACACUUGUGGAAGAAAAUGUUUUUUUAAAGAAGAAAUUUUGUUAUCCUAAGAACCUGUAUUUGUUUUAUGAUUCAAGUAGAGUGCCAAAUCAUUAUUUUGAUAGAAAAUCAAUUUCCAGAGCCUUUCCCUUUCCAUUAGUGUUCCCUUAGAACACAGCUUCUCAAAUUUUCUCAGUUCACUGCACCCUUAGUAACUCAGUAAUUUUUUCAUGAUGACCCUAGACCAAAAGGAAUAUCUAAUAGUUUCUUUUGUUAGUUUUAGGUCCAAAGCAGUUUAGAAAGUAUUUUUGUCUUAAUGAUUUAGUAGGUUGCUUGAAACAAGGUACACAAAUGAAUUGAAAGAAAAAAAAAUUUAUUUCAUUAAUUUUUUUAAAAAAUUAAAUUAAUUUAUUUAUUUGAGAUGGAGUCUUGCUCUGUCACCCAGGCUGGAGUGCAGUGGCACAAUCUCAGCUCACUGCAAUCUCCACCUCCUGGGUUCAAGUGAUUCUCCUGCCUUAGCCUCCUGAGUAACUGGGAUUACAGGUGUGCACCAUCACGGCCAGCUAAUUUUUAUUUUUAGUAGAGAUGGGUUUUCACCAUGUUGGCCAGACUGGUCUCCAACUCUGGACCUCAAGUGAUCCACCCGGCCUCCCUCCCAAAGAGCUGGGAUUACAGGUGUGAGCCACCAUGCCUGGCCUUAUUUCAUUUUUAAAUAGCCAGUUACUUAAUGAGAUAUGCCUAUUGUGUACUGCACCACUUACCAAACCUUGGGAUCAGAUUGGAUACUUGCAAUCGUGUUUGCUACAUUGAUUUUCAUGGGAUACUUGCUUUUUAUGAGAGCAACUGCCAAAACCUAGCUUUGCAAGGAUAAGAAGUCACUGAAAGGUAUGUAACAUGAUCUGAUGUUAAAACGGAACUAUUUUGAGCUGCUAGUAUGUUUGGUGUCUGAUAGAUGUUGUACAUUGCUGUGAUUCCCUCAAAAGGUUAAAAUAUCUUGCAGUGCCCUUGUGAAUUCUCUAUGGUGGCUUAGGGUACCUUGACACACAAUUUGGGAACUAUAGCCCUAAACUCAUAGACACUUACAGAGUCUUAUUAGAAUCUUCUCUUUUCUAGUUUACCUUUCUAUAUAUGCUCUUCCUCUUUUUCAUUCUCAUUUUUAAAAAGAGUUAAUAAAAAGUAAUAAUGACACACUAGACUUUUUCCAGAGUAAUGGUUCAUUAAUACAAUAUAUCCUCUUUGGCAAUUAAGAAAGUAUACAUUUAUGCUUUAAUGAACAUGUGAGUAUAUAUCAGAUAUAAAGUAUUCAGAUAAAAUAUAGUCAACAGUGGCCUCAGUUACAUACUUAAGCCUCUGUCUGCUUCAUUUUUCUAGAGUUUAAAGGAAACUGUCAUACCUAAAAUAAGGACUUUUAUGCUAACUGCAGAAUUUAUGCUAACCGUACAUUUAUUAUCAGAGCUUGAUACUCAAUCUCUUCUCACUAAAGGUGAGAAUGGCCCUAAUUUUCUAUACUUUCAUAUUUUACUAAUUGACUCCAGGUAGGAGGAAGGCAGUUUUGAGUUAGGGAGCUGGCUGGAAAUGUUCUUCAGUUUGUUUCCCCUCAGUCUGUUCCAGAAUUAACAGCACAGCGGAAAGAAGAGGCUGGAGGUAGAGCUCUGAAUGCCCAUGGAAAGAUACUGCCCUCUGUCUAGAUGGAAAUGGGAGAAUGUAACUAUCAAAAGGGCCUAAUCAGGUCAGGAAGACAAAGCAGAAAGAAGUAAAAAUGAGGUGGAGGGACAGUAGAAAAGAGAAAGAAGGAAAAGCAGUAGUAGGGUGCAGUAAUGUCCCCUUAUCUGCAUGGAAUAUGUUUCAGGACCGCCCCCGCCCCCGCCCAAACAGAGGAUACGUAUAGUUCAAACCACAUAUAGUUCCAGACCCUCUAUAUACCAUACUAUGCCUUUUCCUAUACAUAAAUAACUAUAAUAAAGCUUAAUUUAUAAAUGAGGCACAUUAAGAGAUGAAAAACAAUGACAUAAUAAAACAGAACAGUAGAAAAAUACACUCACAUUCACAUGUUAUGUGAAUGUGAUCUGUCUCUCUAAAUAUCUUAUUGUAAUAUACUCACUUAUUUUUGGGCCACAAUUGACCAUAGUAACUGAAACUGGAAAGCAAAACUGCAGAUAAAGGGGGACUAAUAUACUCAGAUUGGUACAGUUUGCUUAGAAUUUUGGUAAAGCCCCCAAAAUUAAAACUCAAGUUUGACAAAGUGUGAGGUAGAGAAUCAAUUUACCUAAAGAUAUAUUUGGGAGAAGUUAUUGUAUGUAGUUAUAAUUUAGAUCCACCUACCUUGUCCACUCAAA